CCAACACUAACAAGCUAGCAGACUGAGACCGGCACCUGAAUCCCAUCACGUGGUUCCAUUGUUCAGGCCAGUACUUUUGAUCUCCUCCUGACCUGGAAUGAACAGUGAGUCUCUCACAGCCAUCUGGGUGAUCCGUCUGUAUACAGACCUUCCUUGACACUCCUGCAGUAGUCAGCAUACUGCCUCAACACAAAAGAGGCUAGACAAAUGUUAAGUGACAUCUAUAAAGUUUUCUGAGCACCAAAGACAGACCCA
rnacentral:lncRNA from 1 species